AUGUUACAGAGAUGGGGAGGGUGCUUGGACAAGGAGGGACUUCAGAACAAUGACGAGAAUUUGAAAAUCGAGGUGUUGUUGAACCGGGAGUCAAUGUCGCUCAGUGAGGAUGGUAUCAGUGGGGACAUCAUUAUGAGCCAGUCUCCCCCGGUGCUGUCAGUGGGACUGGGCCAGACCGCAACCAUCACCUGUACGGCCAGUCAAGACAUUAGCUACUACCUCAGUUGGUACCAGCAGCGAGAAGGUCAGAAACCCUCUCUCCUGAUCUAUUAUGCAACAUAUAGAUUCACAGGAGCUUCUGAGCGAUUCACUGGCAUUCAAACCAGGACCAGUUUCAUCCUCACAAUCAGCAACGUUCAGAAUGAGGAUGUCGCUGAUUAUUUCUGUCAGAACAACAAGUAUAGCAGCCCCCCUCUUACAUUCAGUAAAGGAACCAAGCUCAGACUGAGUAAGUAA